CAGUCUCUUGCUCAGUGGUAC
rnacentral:piRNA from 1 species